rnacentral:misc_RNA from 1 species
ACAACCACAGGGGGCGCCAUACAGAACAAAAUGUCCAAGAACAGCAGUGCCAAAAUUCUUCCUCCGCGAGAACCCGGAUCCUUUUUGGUGGGAAAUUAUGAUUUCAAACCAACGAUUCCAACUUAUUUAGAGUUGUGGCGUAAACAUGGCGACCUUAUUACCCUGGUAACAUUUGGCCAAACAAUGAUUGUCGUCUGCGGCCAUAAAACGCUUACAGAAGUGCUAGAACAAAAUGGCGAAAAUACUUAUGAGCAUCCUUUUGUUUUCGGAUUUAGAGAAUAUUUUGAAUGUUCAGGUAUCCUUGGUGCGUUCGGGCAGGUUUGGAAAAAACAAAGGAAAUUCGUCAUUGAUACCCUCAGAAAAAUUGAUUCAGGAAGCGCCAACCAGGAGUCACAUGUAGCGGAUGUAGUUGAAGAUUUUCUAAAAGAUGUGGAGCUUGCCAAUGGUCAGCCUAUUGAAAUGAAAAAAACCGUGACAUGAUUUUGUUUGGAUUUGGUUUUCUGUUCGGGGGGAUUCCUGUCACACAUGCACUGGCGUGGUCCUUCCUUUACCUCGUGCAUCAUCCCGAUGUCGUCUCAAAUAUGCAAAAGGAAAUUGACAACAUCAUUGGCAAAAAUCGCCUUCCAACCAUGGAAGACCGACCAUCUCUUCCAUACUGUCAAGCGGUCAUCUACGAAGUACUCCGUAUGGCUUCAGUGAGCUCUGGUGCGCCUGCUCACGUUCUGUCAGCUGAUAUAGAGGUCAAUGGGUACACGCUUCCAAAGGACGCGUGGUUAAUCCCGGGUUUGUCUACAAUAAACUGGGAUCCUUCUAUUCACACAGAACCAGAAAAGUUCAACCCUGGACGAUUUAUUAAUGAUGAAGGUCAACUUUUCGGAUAUGAAAAAGUCUACACCUCUUUCUUUAUAGGACCAAGAACAUGUCUGGGCCAAAGUCUUGCCAUGAUAGAGAUGUUUCUUAUCAUAACAAGCGUUGUACAGAAAUACGAUAUCGGCAACGAACCAGGGAACCCCUUAGUAUCCCUCGAGGGAAUAUACAAAGGGGUCCACAUACCUAGUCCCUACAAUUUGUGUCUUAAAAACAGAUUGUAAUUCUAUAUGCAAAGCUUUAGGUCAACAAACCGAUUAGAGUUAUUGAAAUGGUUAGAGGAGUUGAUGAAUCUAAGUGAAUCUAAAGGAUUUUUAUAGUUUAUAUCAAGUUACAAAAUUGUUCACGAUUUUAUGUAAGAUGUAUAAUUAAAAAUGUUUGGCCCAAAUAGGUAUUUGUUGUUAAGUACAUACAUAGUUUUAAAAGGAAACUCACAGCGAGAGUAUUUUCUGGCAAUAAAUAGAGAAAAUUAAACAGAUUAGCAGAUUUGUUAUAUUUUAUCUUAUUAGAAAUGCUUGCAUGUUAACAUAAAACAACAUUGAAAGCGUCCUAUGACUUAUUUAACUUUUAAUCCUACCCUUUAAUCGCUUGCUAAAAUUACAAUUCAAAAAUUGAAUAACAUUUAUUAGUCCCCAUGUUUGUUUAAAGUUCUACUGUACAUAAAUUUAACAAAUGGGACAAACUUAAAUGAGUGUCUGGAUGAGAUAUAAAACGUAAAUUGAAUUGUUGUAAAUAAAGGCAUUUUAAGUUGUUAUCUUCACAUGCCAUUACAGUUGAUCUUUUGUUUAUUAUGAAAAGAACAAUGUUUAAUCUGUAUUUGCGCCUUGUAAAAUGCAUCUAUGUUCUUCAUAGAAAUAUUUCUUGUAUAUGUUAACUGGUAUAGAAAUAAUUUGUUUUUUUCCAUGUUAUAUCCUAGUAAUAUGCUUUUUGUCAAAUAAAUAACAUAUAUAACGUU